rnacentral:rRNA from 1 species
GACGAACGCUGGCGGCGUGCUUAACACAUGCAAGUCGAACGGAAAGGCCCUGCAUUUGUGGGGUGCUCGAGUGGCGAACGGGUGAGUAACACGUGAGUAACCUGCCCUUGACUUUGGGAUAACUUCAGGAAACUGGGGCUAAUACCGGAUAGGAGCUCCUGCUGCAUGGUGGGGGUUGGAAAGUUUAGGCGGUUGGGGAUGGACUCGCGGCUUAUCAGCUUGUUGGUGGGGUAGUGGCUUACCAAGGCUUUGACGGGUAGCCGGCCUGAGAGGGUGACCGGCGACAUUGGUACUGAGAGACGGCCCAGAGGCCUACGGGAGGCAGCAGUGGGGAAUAUUGCACAAUGGGCGGAAGCCUGAUGCAGCAACGCCGGGUGCGUGAUGACGGCCUGCGGGUUGUAAACCGCUUUCGCCUGUGACGAAGCGUGAGUGACGGUAAUGGGUAAAGAAGCACCGGCUAACUACGUG